UGCCGUAAUAGUCAAGUCAAAACCUGAACAAGUGAGAUGCGUGUGCGUUUGAGGACGCAGAUUACUGACAGAUCUCCACAGGCAGCUAAUGAAGGGUGGCACCCAGUUGUUUUGCCGAGAGGCGAUCCACCUGAUCCAUUGUGCUACCAAGAAAAACAGAUUAAUUGACAUCAAGCCAGGUAUAUGUUUUUUUUUUUUUUUUUGUUUGUUUCACUGAUCUUCUAAUGCGUGUACCAUUAAAGAAAUACUAAGGGUGCGUGCUCAUUCAAGCUUUAAUUGUCUCUAUAGAUUAGGUGGCUAAGUUGUUUCCAGUGAAAGACAAGUUUGUGCUGAUAGACAUUUGUUUUACUGGAGAAAGGAAAUGCGUGGUAGUGUUAAGUAGACAAAUGAGACAAGUGAGAACUAACAGAGCCAGAAAAUGUCAAAAACUUAAGAUAAUGACUCGGCGCUGAAAAUUAGUUGGUGUGUGGGUGUGCGUACGCGCUGACCUAUGGCCAUGACUGUGAAACAUGACAGCCAAAAAUGCUUCAGUGAAAAUGUUAUCCAUGGAGCGGAGGGCAGAGGAGAAAACGGAUAAACUGAGGGUGGAAGUGAAAGUGUUAAGAGCCCAGGUGGUUAUUUUUCCCACUUCAGAGAACCACCACACAAGCUGUAAUCGGCUUAAGCUGUGCCCCAAAAAGAACCCUUGAUCCGGUUAAUGAAUAGAUGACGAGUGAUUUCAACAUUUGUGUUCUGUACACAAGUCCCCCAACUGUUCAAAAUCCCCCUUUUCACAGUCUUUUAUAUCUUACAGUUCACACGAAAGCUAUUUGUGUCUGACUCACGUUCUCACGCACAAGUUCAGCUGCCUGAAUUCGGCUGCCUGUUGGAUUUUUACCGUGACCUGGAUGGCCCAGGAAUAUUUGACCCACGUCAUGACAGAGAAUCAUUAACUGGACCAACAAUCGAAAACGGAACGAAGAAAAAAAGAUUGGGGAGGACAGCCAGGAACUUUCUUCCUCGUGGUUUUCUCACAUAAUCAUUCAAUUCAGAUGCACCCGGGAGCACGGAGGCGUGACACCGAUUCUGCGGGGGCUGCUUUCUCAGCCACUUUCCUAGGAAUUAAGGAACAACUGAGACCUCAAAGAAAGCUCAGGAGGUUCUGUCAGUGGACUGCGGUGGAGCCCCUGCCUGUAUUCAAUGUUGACCACUCCUACGCUCUCCCUUCAUCACCUGAUGAUCUGAGGGCCAGACUCAUUGAUGCCUUGGGUAGGGUUGAGAGUCUGGAGAGAGAGAAAAGAAAUGCAAUGACUCGAGAGAGAGAGGAGGGCAAAAGAAACAAAGUGAGCAGUGUUCUAGAAGAACUUAGAGGGAAGUCACUUAUAAACGACGAGAUGAAAGACUAGCUUUUCGUACUCCGGUAAAAUCGAUACCAAUGUGUAGAAAAUCUAAACCACCUGGAAUUACUUACAGGAAACAGUGUGGAAUUGAUAACCAUCACUAUGUGCUGAUGUCACUUGUUGUUUCUGUGUUCCACAAGCUGAGACUACACCACAACACCAAACUAAAAACAAUACAAUUACAGAGUGGCAACAAUAGGAAAGAAAUGUGCAAACCCUUUAUUUUUCAAGGAUUUUAGUGAUAGUGAUAGACACAUAUUAUUAAAGUGUAACAUACACUGUUUUUUGCACUACUUUACAGCUGAUGAAACAUGAAUUACUGAUGUGUGGGAUCAAUAAAGUUAUU